CGGACCUCAGAUCAGGCAAGACCUAGUACCCGCUGAGUUUCCGCAUAUCAUUGAGCGGAGGAAAAGAAACUAACAAGGACUUUCC
rnacentral:rRNA from 1 species